GGCCUACGGGGGGCAGCAGUGGGGAAUAUUGCACAAUGGGGGAAACCCUGAUGCAGCAACGCCGCGUGAGUGAGGAAGUAUUUCGGUAUGUAAAGCUCUAUCAGCAGGGAAUAGAAAAGAAGGUACCUGAAAAAGAAGCCCCGGCUAACUACGUGCCAGCAGCCGCGGUAAUACGUAGGAUGCGAGCGUUAUCCGGAUUUAUUGGGUUUAAAGGGUGCGUAGGCGGUCCGGAAAGUCAGCGGUAAAAGCCCGGGGCUCAACCCCGGCGAGCCGUUGAAACUGUCGGACUAGAGACGGCGAGAAGG
rnacentral:rRNA from 1 species